AUUUCAGUUGAGAAUAUAUUCUUAUAUAAUGUACAGAAAAGAGGCUCACAAACAAACAAAAAAAAAUCUUAUUCUACAAAUUACUGUUAAGGAUUGUCAUUCUACUCUUCAUAUAGCAGCUCAACUCGAGAUUGUUUGAAUCGUUAUACAAGGGUGUUCAGCUCUAUCGUCGUAUGUGCUCUAACUAGCCUCCCGCUACCAUCCUCCGACCACCCACCAGAGUUUGUCAAUGAUUACACAACGACCACCCACUGGCAUGAAACCUACAAUCACCGGCGUUGAAUGCUUUUUUCCAAGUUGUGGUUACUCUCCAAACAGUAACUCUUUCAUCUUUGCAAGAUCGGAAGAUCUAGGGUUAUUGAAGACGAAUGAUUGAAGGAAACGUUUGUGCUAAGAGAUCGAUUAGGUCUCUUUUUAGGUGGUUGAAAUUUAUUAGGAAACUAAACUGAUGAAAUCCCAGUGCAAGUGUGGUAGAAAUUACAUUUGGAGAUCGCCUUGGUGCACUUCUUGACACUGUAUGAAUUCUUCAAAAUCUGUAACAAAAAUACAGAUGGGAUCACUUGCAAAUCUUGGAAUGAAUGUUGUCAAGGCAAAUGAUCAUCUGAAUUCUUCCGAGAAGCACACCAAGUUUUUAAUAACCGAAGCAUCAUAGACGUGAUGCAGCAAGAGCAGAAAAUUCAUUUACUCUUAUAUUUUGGGAGUGAAUUAAUCGGUAUGCAAAUCUUCAAAAAUGGUAUAUAGGUUUUUUCUACUGUUAUUUCUAGAUAUAGCAAAAUGUGCAUGUUAGGCAACAAUUCAAAACGGGCCAGGUUGGGUUGACCUUAAACAUAAUGGUUUUGGUGACCAAUAACACACAUUUAUCUUUGAACUAUGUUUUGUAUCAUUUUUACCUUCGUUGGUAUUCUUUUGUUACUGAUGAUUAGGGGUGUUCAUGUUUGGUUUAAAACUGAGAAACCAUCCAAACCAAUCAUCGGUUUGGUUACAUGUUUGUCGGUUUCAAAAAAUUCCAAACCGUAGCAUACGGUUUGGUUUACGGUUGAUACCAAAAGUCGGUCGUACGAAACCGGACCAUUUGUUUGAUAAUAUAUUGAACUUAAAUUAAAAUAAACUAGCUAAAUAAGACUUGAAGUGGAACCAUUGGGCGUUUAUAUUAGCUUAUCCCUAUAUAGGCUGUAUGAAAAUUCAUAAUGUCUCUGGUCAAUUCAAACAAAAUCUCAAUAUUUUAGGUUAGUAAUUAGUUAUCUUAUUAUUGUUUUCUGUUGAUGUGAUAAAUGGAUAAGUAUACUAGAGAUUUGAACAAUUUGUUUCCAUCUAAACAAAUAAUUCAGUAUCAAGUUUCAUACUUAAAUAUAUAUACAAAAACGAACAGAUCUUGGCCGUUGGAUAAGUACAGUGACUUUUUUUAUGUUGUUACUUGGACAGGGGCAAAAUUGCAAAGGCUAAAAGACUGUUGAUGUUGAAACUGGUAACGGUUUGUUUAGUUCGGUUUCAAAUUUCAGCGGUUUGGUUCUGGUUUAUAAUAAUCAAAAACCAUUUAUGGCUUAGUGUUUGCCUAAAAAACACCCCUACUAAUGAUGAUACUUGCAAAGCGUGAAUUGUUUACUUGAAUAUGCUUUUAAAUGAAUAAUUGGAUGUCAGUUGAAACCUCGUACUUACUUAAAGACUUUUUAUCUUGAAACAAUUGUACUGGCCGAUAAUCAUAUUAUAGGUUGAUAACCGGUGCCCAAAUGUUUUCAAGUGUGAAAUCAAUUAUCAAGCACAAGUGUUUGCACCAGGUGGAGAUCUUAUAAAGGUUCAAAGAGUGGUUUGCAUGAUCAGCAACAACACAGUAGUUGCCAAGGGGUUGCAAAAAAAAAUGUCACAUUUUGUAACAAAUUUUUGUAAUUUUGCUCAUCACAUGAUAUUUCUUCUAAAAGACCCCCGUUUAAUAUACGAGUUUGAUAAAAGACCCUCAUCGCAUUGAUACACAAGACAACACACAAGUCUUAAGGGGAUAUAUGAAAUUAUCCCUUUUGGUAAUAUAAUAAAUUUGACUACGUAACUUGUACUUCUAAAAUAUUUUUCCUAAUAAAAUUAUGUGUGCAGCUAUCAAGACCGUCAUGCUCUAGAGGAUGAGGUCAAGAUUUUUGCAAAACCACAGACA